UACGGAGGGUGCGAGCGUUGUCCGGAAUCAUUGGGCGUAAAGGGCGCGUAGGUGGCUUCUUAAGCGUGCGGUGAAAGCCUGGGGCUCAACCCCGGGUCGGCCGUGCGAACUGGGGGGCUGGAGCACUGUAGAGGCAGGCGGAAUUCCGGGUGUAGCGGUGGAAUGCGUAGAGAUCCGGAAGAACACCGGUGGCGAAGGCGGCCUGCUGGGCAGUUGCUGACGCUGAGACGCGAAAGCGUGGGGAGCAAACAGG
rnacentral:rRNA from 1 species